rnacentral:rRNA from 1 species
GAUGAACGCUGGCGGCGUGCCUAAUACAUGCAAGUCGAGCGAACGGACGAGAAGCUUGCUUUUCUGAUGUUAGCGGCGGACGGGUGAGUAACGCGUGGAUAACCUACCUAUAAGACUGGGAUAACUUCGGGAAACCGGAGCUAAUACCGGAUAAUAUUUUGAACCGCAUGGUUCAAAAGUGAAAGACGGUCUUGCUGUCACUUAUAGAUGGAUCCGCGCUGCAUUAGCUAGUUGGUAAGGUAACGGCUUACCAAGGCAACGAUGCAUAGCCGACCUGAGAGGGUGAUCGGCCACACUGGAACUGAGACACGGUCCAGACUCUUACGGGAGGCAGCAGUAGGGAAUCUUCCGCAAUGGGCGAAAGCCUGACGGAGCAACGCCGCGUGAGUGAUGAAGGUCUUCGGAUCGUAAAACUCUGUUAUUAGGGAAGAACAUAUGUGUAAGUAACUGUGCACAUCUUGACGGUACCUAAUCAGAAAGCCACGGCUAACUACGUG